AUGCACGCUGGCGGCGUGCCUAAUCCCUGCAAGUCGAGCGAACGGACGAGAAGCUUGCUUUUCUGAUGUUAGCGGCGGACGGGUGAGUAACACGUGGAUAACCUACCUAUAAGACUGGGAUAACUUCGGGAAACCGGAGCUAAUACCGGAUAAUAUUUUGAACCGCAUGGUUCAAAAGUGAAAGACGGUCUUGCUGUCACUUAUAGAUGGAUCCGCGCUGCAUUAGCUAGUUGGUAAGGUAACGGCUUACCAAGGCAACGAUGCAUAGCCGACCUGAGAGGGUGAUCGGCCACACUGGAACUGAGACACGGUCCAGACUCCUACGGGAGGCAGCAGUAGGGAAUCUUCCGCAAUGGGCGAAAGCCUGACGGAGCAACGCCGCGUGAGUGAUGAAGGUCUUCGGAUCGUAAAACUCUGUUAUUAGGGAAGAACAUAUGUGUAAGUAACUGUGCACAUCUUGACGGUACCUAAUCAGAAAGCCACGGCUAACUACGUG
rnacentral:rRNA from 1 species